rnacentral:rRNA from 1 species
UUUCCGGUUGAUCCUGCCGGAGGUCACUGCUAUCGGGGUUCGACUAAGCCAUGCGAGUCGAGAGGGGUCAAGCCCUCGGCGUACUGCUCAGUAACACGUGGAUAAUCUACCCUGAGGUGGGGGAUAACCCCGGGAAACUGGGGAUAAUACCCCAUAGGCUACGGAGGCUGGAAUGCCCCGUAACCGAAAGCUCCGGCGCCUCAGGAUGAGUCUGCGGCCGAUUAGGUAGUUGUUGGGGUAACGGCCCAACAAGCCUGUAAUCGGUACGGGUUGUGGGAGCAAGAGCCCGGAGAUGGAUUCUGAGACAUGAAUCCAGGCCCUACGGGGCGCAGCAGGCGCGAAAACUUUACAAUGCGAGCAAUCGUGAUAAGGGAACCCCGAGUGCCUGUAUACGCAGGCUGUUCAGAUGUCUAAAUAACAUCUGGAGAAAGGGCCGGGCAAGACCGGUGCCAGCCGCCGCGGUAAUACCGGCGGCUCGAGUGGUGGCCACUAUUACUGGGCUUAAAGCGUCCGUAGCUGGGUUGUUAAGUCUCCUGGGAAAUCUGCCGGCUCAACCGUCAGGCGUUCAGGAGAUACUGGCAACCUCGGGACCGGGGGAGGUGAGAGGUACUCCGGGGGUAGGAGUGAAAUCCUGUAAUCCUCGGGGGACCACCUGUGGCGAAGGCGUCUCACCAGAACGGCUCCGACAGUGAGGGACGAAAGCUGGGGGAGCAAACCGGAUUAGAUACCCGGGUAGUCCCAGCUGUAAACGAUGCGCGUUAGGUGUGUCGAUAACCACGAGUUAUCGAGGUGCCGAAGGGAAACUGUUAAACGCGCCGCCUGGGAAGUACGGUCGCAAGGCUGAAACUUAAAGGAAUUGGCGGGGGAGCACUACAACGGGUGGAGCCUGCGGUUUAAUUGGAUUCAACGCCGGG